rnacentral:lncRNA from 1 species
UCUAGUCCUUUAGUGAGAGAAAGAGGAAACUUUGAUGGUGACAUUAUUGUACUUGUUUUCUUGUCCAAUGUGCUUUGUGAGAUAUCACGUGAUUCUUUGCACAUGACUUUCUCUUUCAACAAUGUCAGAGAGCUUUCAAUUUGAAUAUUCCUCUCUUUCAUAAGUGUGGUCUUCUCUUCUGACUGAUGAUCAAAUUGCUUGGACGGUUCUUGUAACAUCCCGACUUUCGAGUGUCACAAUAGUAACCUAUCAUAAACUAUAUGUAGAAAAUGCAAGUAAUUUUUUUUCUUAUUCUUUUCUUUCUUAAUACAAAGCAUUCAAUACAUGUGAUGCAUUACGUAACAUAAUAUAUAACCAGACCCCAAAGUGCUAAAGUAAGCCCGAAGGCAUUCAGUAACCAAAGUGGAUUGAAGUUAGUGUAGUUAUAAAUACAAGAUCCUGAAGUGUGGGAGAGUCAGCCCCAAACGUCCUCCUCCAUACCUCUUAACGUCCGACUACUCCCUGUGAUUCCCAUACAGAGAACCAUACAAAAAGAAAAAUAUCGGGAACCUACCCUUCCCCAAAAGUACAGACACGACUAGUCAGAGCUAUGACAACAACACCCAAAAUCAGUAAACUCUAAACACUCAUACCCUACACCACUAUCAUCGACCCUCAUCUAAUCACGCGUGUAGUCCGGGUCCUCGUCGCAAGGCUCAACAGUAGUCAUUCCGCUUCGGAUCCACCCCGAGCGACGAAUCAUCUCGAACUAGCUGUCGAUCGUCUGGCAGUUUGCCGAC